rnacentral:misc_RNA from 1 species
GAUGAAGAACGUAGCGAAAUGCGAUAAGUAAUGUGAAUUGCAGAAUUCAGUGAAUCAUCGAAUCUUUGAACGCAUCUUGCGCUCCUUGGUAUUCCUUGGAGCAUGCCUGUUUGAGUAUCAUGAGCAAAUCUCAAAGUCAAUUCCUUUUGUUAAUUCAAUUGGUUUUGCUUUGGACUUGGAGGUCUUGCAGAUUUUCACAGUCUGCUCCUCUUAAAUGCAUUAGCUGGAUCUCAGUAAUUAUGCUUGGUUCCACUCGGCGUGAUAAGUAUCACUCGCUGAGGACACUGUUAAAAAGGUGGCCAGGAAAAUACUGAUUGAACCGCUUCUAACGGUCUAUUAAGUUAGACAAUUACCCUUAAGUUUGUUCUCAAAUCAGGUAGGACUACCCGCUGAACUUAAGCAUAUCAAUAAGCGGAGGA